UACGUAGGGUGCAAGCGUUAAUCGGAAUUACUGGGCGUAAAGCGUGCGCAGGCGGUUUUGUAAGUCUGACGUGAAAUCCCCGGGCUCAACCUGGGAAUUGCGUUGGAGACUGCAGGGCUAGAAUCUGGCAGAGGGGGGUAGAAUUCCACGUGUAGCAGUGAAAUGCGUAGAGAUGUGGAGGAACACCGAUGGCGAAGGCAGCCCCCUGGGUCAAGAUUGACGCUCAUGCACGAAAGCGUGGGGAGCAAACAGG
rnacentral:rRNA from 1 species